rnacentral:rRNA from 1 species
GACGAACGCUGGCGGCGUGCCUAAUACAUGCAAGUAGAACGCUGAAGAGAGGAGCUUGCUCUUCUUGGAUGAGUUGCGAACGGGUGAGUAACGCGUAGGUAACCUGCCUUGUAGCGGGGGAUAACUAUUGGAAACGAUAGCUAAUACCGCAUAACAAUGGAUGACACAUGUCAUUUAUUUGAAAGGGGCAAUUGCUCCACUACAAGAUGGACCUGCGUUGUAUUAGCUAGUAGGUGAGGUAACGGCUCACCUAGGCGACGAUACAUAGCCGACCUGAGAGGGUGAUCGGCCACACUGGGACUGAGGCACGGCCCAGACUCCUACGGGAGGCAGCAGUAGGGAAUCUUCGGCAAUGGGGGCAACCCUGACCGAGCAACGCCGCGUGAGUGAAGAAGGUUUUCGGAUCGUAAAGCUCUGUUGUAAGUCAAGAACGAGUGUGAGAGUGGAAAGUUCACACUGUGACGGUAGCUUACCAGAAAGGGACGGCUAACUACGUGCCAGCAGCCGCGGUAAUACGUAGGUCCCGAGCGUUGUCCGGAUUUAUUGGGCGUAAAGCAAGCGCAGGCGGUUUGAUAAGUCUGAAGUUAAAGGCUGUGGCUCAACCAUAGUUCGCUUUGGAAACUGUCAAACUUGAGUGCAGAAGGGGAGAGUGGAAUUCCAUGUGUAGCGGUGAAAUGCGUAGAUAUAUGGAGGAACACCGGUGGCGAAAGCGGCUCUCUGGUCUGUAACUGACGCUGAGGCUCGAAAGCGUGGGGAGCGAACAGGAUUAGAUACCCUGGUAGUCCACGCCGUAAACGAUGAGUGCUAGGUGUUGGAUCCUUUCCGGGAUUCAGUGCCGCAGCUAACGCAUUAAGCACUCCGCCUGGGGAGUACGACCGCAAGGUUGAAACUCAAAGGAAUUGACGGGGGCCCGCACAAGCGGUGGAGCAUGUGGUUUAAUUCGAAGCAACGCGAAGAACCUUACCAGGUCUUGACAUCCCGAUGCUAUUUCUAGAGAUAGAAAGUUACUUCGGUACAUCGGUGACAGGUGGUGCAUGGUUGUCGUCAGCUCGUGUCGUGAGAUGUUGGGUUAAGUCCCGCAACGAGCGCAACCCCUAUUGUUAGUUGCCAUCAUUCAGUUGGGCACUCUAGCGAGACUGCCGGUAAUAAACCGGAGGAAGGUGGGGAUGACGUCAAAUCAUCAUGCCCCUUAUGACCUGGGCUACACACGUGCUACAAUGGUUGGUACAACGAGUUGCGAGUCGGUGACGGCAAGCUAAUCUCUUAAAGCCAAUCUCAGUUCGGAUUGUAGGCUGCAACUCGCCUACAUGAAGUCGGAAUCGCUAGUAAUCGCGGAUCAGCACGCCGCGGUGAAUACGUUCCCGGGCCU